rnacentral:lncRNA from 1 species
GGGAUUCCCACUUGUGAUUUCAUAGAGGCCUGCUACAUAGCUAAUGCCUGUGGUGUGGUCUAAUUCUGUACCUAGAGCCUGGCUGCCAGGGAGCCAGCUUCCCUCACAUUGGCAGGGUGGUACUCCGGUUACAUAACCCCAGACUCUUUGAGGAGAAGGUUAAGGGAUAAAGAAAUCUACCAUCUGAAAGAGACUACCUUCCAAAUGGUGUCAUGAAGCCUUGGGCUCACAGGAUCAUAGAACCUGAGUCAGAAGGGGCUUUGGAGAAGCCCACUGUCUUUUGGCAGCAGCUCCCAGGUGGAAUCUUCCUGGAAUGUUGGAGUGAAGAUCUUACAGGAUUACCAGUGUGUAACCACUUCCAGAAUAGCAGAAGCAUAACAAACAUGGAAAUAUGCAUUGCACAAUAGCCCAUGUUUAAUCUAUGUCAUAUUACCUGUCACCUCAGCAAGAGGGGAGAAGAAGAAUAGAGGGAGAGAACAUGGAUCUCAGAAUGUCAGAAAAUGAAUAUUCAAAAUUACAUUUACAUAUAAUCUGAAAAAAGAAGGACUUGGGCCCAGGUCUUUCUGACUUUAAGGAAGGUGUCCUAUCCAUUAUACCAUGCUCCUUUUUUUUUAUAUGAAUCUUAAAUACUUCAAUGAUUUAAAGGAUUUAUGACCUCAUCAAUACAUAUACUCUCUUCAUGGAAACAGAUUGCAAGCCAUCC